ACUCCUACGGGAGGCAGCAGUGGGGAAUAUUGCACAAUGGGCGCAAGCCUGAUGCAGCCAUGCCGCGUGUAUGAAGAAGGCCUUCGGGUUGUAAAGUACUUUCAGCAGUGAGGAAGGUGGGUAUGUUAAUAGCAUAUUCAUUUGACGUUAGCUGCAGAAGAAGCACCGGCUAACUCCGUGCCAGCAGCCGCGGUAAUACGGAGGGUGCGAGCGUUAAUCGGAAUUACUGGGCGUAAAGCGCAUGCAGGUGGUUUGUUAAGUCAGAUGUGAAAGCCCGGGGCUCAACCUCGGAAUUGCAUUUGAAACUGGCAAACUAGAGUACUGUAGAGGGGGGUAGAAUUUCAGGUGUAGCGGUGAAAUGCGUAGAGAUCUGAAGGAAUACCGGUGGCGAAGGCGGCCCCCUGGACAGAUACUGACACUCAGAUAGCGAAAGCGUGGGGAGCAAACAGGAUUAGAUACCCUGGUAGGCUCU
rnacentral:rRNA from 1 species